rnacentral:misc_RNA from 1 species
GCCAACAACUGCCAUUUAAAAACGCCCUCUCAGCUGAACGGCGAGUUGUGAAAGUCAAGCGGGCUGAGCAAUUUUUUGUCGCCUCUGACCCACCAGCAUCAAUAUCUUCUAGUUCAACAGCAGCAAGAUCGCCAUAUGAUGAGAAGAAUUCCUUCAAGGCAUCAACAUUUGCCAAACCAGGUGGUAACGGAGGAACUAUUUUAAAAGCUGUGGGCCGAUUAUCCAACUUAUAUCUGUUCAUCACAAAGACUGCCCCUGCAGGUGCCACUGGAUAAAUUGGCUGCUUUGAGCCUGUAGGUUCAUGCUGCAAAAAUGACAUGCUUGUUUUGGGACUGGAUGAUAUGAGGUUUUCCACUGAUUUAUUCUUAUCCACCAUCAUCUCAGUAUGUGGAGAUGACACACCAGCAAUAGGGUCAAAGGACCUUGGAGUAGUAGCUUUUGCAACAUCAGUUGCUAUUCCUACUCUCUGUCUCUUAGAAGCAGGCUCAGCCACUACCUCACCUUUAACUCC